ACGUAGGAGGCGAGCGUUAUCCGGAUUUACUGGGUGUAAAGCGCGUGCAGGCGGUUUAGCAAGUCGUGCGUGAAAGCGCCCAGGCUUAACCGGGCGAGGACAAUGAAGACUGGUCAGCUAGAGGACGGUAGAGGGGUGUGGAAUUCCGGGUGUAGUGGUGAAAUGCGUAGAGAUCCGGAGGAACACCAGAGGCGAAGGCGGCACCCUGGACGACACCAGACGCUGAGACGCGACAGCACGGGGAGCGAACGG
rnacentral:rRNA from 1 species